GCACAAGCGGUGGAUGAUGUGGAUUAAUUCGAUGCAACGCGAAAACCUUACCUACCCUUGACAUGUCUGGAAUCUUGGUGAGAGCCGAGGGUGCCUUCGGGAGCCAGAACACAGGUGCUGCAUGGCUGUCGUCAGCUCGUGUCGUGAGAUGUUGGGUUAAGUCCCGCAACGAGCGCAACCCUUGUCACUAGUUGCCAUCAUUUGGUUGGGCACUCUAGUGAGACUGCCGGUGACAAACCGGAGGAAGGUGGGGAUGACGUCAAGUCCUCAUGGCCCUUAUGGGUAGGGCUUCACACGUCAUACAAUGGUCGGUACAGAGGGUUGCCAAGCCGCGAGGUGGAGCCAAUCCCUUAAAGCCGAUCGUAGUCCGGAUCGUAGUCUGCAACUCGACUACGUGAAGUCGGAAUCGCUAGUAAUCGCAGGUCAGCAUACUGCGGUGAAUACGUUCCCGGGUCUU
rnacentral:rRNA from 1 species